UUCCUGAGCAAGAAAGCGCCAUUUUGCAGACAGGUAGCUGGGUGCUUAGUUGGUUUGUGCGUAGCGUUUGUAAAACUGUUUUCCAUUCGACAUGGUUCGCUAGGGUCGUAGUUUUCAAGCUAAAAUUCAUUCAUAUUUGAAGAAUCUCGAAUGUUACAUUUUUAAACGUUUGUUUUGAUUUUCAGGUCGACAUUUUUCUUCAGUUUGUGUUUGAUUGUCAGUGGUGAACAUGAGUUACGGUAGGCCGCCGCCCGAUGUUGAGGGCAUGACUUCCCUCAAGGUGGAUAACCUGACGUACCGAACCUCGCCGGAGACGCUGCGACGGGUUUUUGAGAAGUACGGGCGGGUCGGGGACGUGUAUAUUCCCCGAGAUCGCUACACGAAGGAGAGCCGCGGGUUCGCCUUUGUGCGGUUCCACGACAAGCGUGACGCGGAGGACGCGAUGGACGCCAUGGACGGCGCGGUGCUGGAUGGGCGGGAGCUGAGAGUGCAGAUGGCUCGCUACGGACGGCCGCCAGAGUCACACCACGGGCGCCGAGGAGGCCCGCCACGAAGGUAUGGGAGCUCCGGGAGGAGAAGCAGGAGCCCUCGACGACGCAGGCGCAGUCGCUCCCGAAGCAGGAGUCGUUCUAGGUCCCGCAGCCGCUCGCGGUACAGCAGAUCAAGAUCCCGUUCAUACUCCCGCUCCAGGUCUCGCUCCAAAACUCGCUCCCCACGCAGAAUCAAGUCUAAAUCCAAGUCAAAGUCUCUGUCCAGAUCCAAGUCGCGGUCCAGGUCCAAGUCGAAGUCCCGCUCCAGAUCCCGAAGCCGCACACCCGCCUCUGCCGUAAACUCCAAGUCCAGGUCGAGGUCCAAGAGCGUGCCCAAGUCUCCGGAGGAGGAGGGAGCAGUGUCCUCCUAACUCAAUGCUGCUGUUUCCUGUUUGCAAAAAAGGAGUUUGGGGCAGUUUGUGCAGUUAGAGAUUGUGUGAUCCGCCCUGAGGCCGCCUCCUGCUGUUGGGGUAUGCUUUGGAGCAGGCUGGUCAGAAUCAGUUAUGAGUUGGUGUUGAGGUACGUCUGCAGGACAAUGGAGAGAAGCCUUGCAUUGUCCUGCUCAUGUGUUGUCCAUGACCUUGGGCUCACAUACUUAAAACAGGAGGGGAAAAAAAAGACUUCACAGAUGAACAACUAAACCCAGUGAGGACGUCACUUCGAAAGUAAGAUCUCUCUGAAAGUGACUGAGAGAUCCCCAAAACAAAUUGGCUGAUUAAAAAAGGUUAUUAUUGUAACGAUUUAUGGCCUAUAAAGUUUUAAAUGUGUGGUUUUUUUUUUUGGUUUUUUUUUUUCUCUGCAUAGAAAAUGAGGUUAAUUUUGUAUGUGCCAUCUUGUUCCAGUUUCUUGUAACUAUUAAAUAGGAAGGACCUCAGAUACAUUUUGGGCUUGUAUAAGUGAGGUAAAGCAAAAACAUUUGAUAUGUUUUAUAUUUUUCUGUUAAGUGCUUAGUCCACUGCUGGGGUUUCCUUAAGUUAGUAAUUUGUUGAAAAAAUAUAAGAUGUUAAAACUUCCAAAAUGGGGGGGGCGGACCUGACUAGAAAGUUCAGUAGUGUCGUAGAAGACACACAAGCAGUGUUUUAAUUAAUUGCUAUUGCUGACUAGUUGAACAUAAUUGCUCUGAGAAAUUGGAGUCGAGACUAAAAUUGCAUUCUGGCUUUGCUACACCAAAGUUAAGAUUCUUUUGUGGUAACUGUCAACUAGUUGCCCAUUACAGUCUAAAGACAUGUUAAGUGGUUUUAGCCAAAACUUUAGUAAUUUUAAAACUAGUCUAAUACAUGCAGACGUCAUAUUAGACAUUUAUUUAAAAUAAUUUUGGUAUCAAUUCUAAAGUACUAGGCGUGUGGUGACCUAAAGUAGUUGCUUUUGAAACCCAGCACGGACUUCCUUUAUUUGCGAUUUUAUUAAUGUUUCAUCUGACUUGCGAUUCUAAUCUUUUCUCUUGUGUAUUUUUUGUGCACUAGGCGCAGUUGUGUAGCAGUUGAGUAUUGCUGGUUAGCUGUUAAGGUGGCGUGUUGCAGUGCAGAGUGCUUGGCUGUUUCCAGUUUUCUCCUGAUUGCUCCUGUGUAACGAUGCCUUGGCGUGCCGGUUUUAUUUUUUUAUUUUAAAAUCCGGUCUGCUCUACUUCCUGAAACCAGGGUCACAUGAAAAUGCUUUAUUUUAUUUUUUUUGUAAUAUUGGAGCAUACAGUGAGCACAUCUAGCCAUUUAUUACACACCUUAUGGCUUUUUGGUAAUGGUAACUUUGAGUACAUCAAACCUGUAAUUGCAUUUAAUAGACCGCUCUUGGUGCAUUCCUUUGUAAUUUGUAUCUUCUGCUAAUAUUUCUGUAUUUGUAACCACUGUUCUUUGAAUGCUAAUAAAAUCUUUUCUUUUGGUGUAAA